rnacentral:lncRNA from 1 species
GAUAGCAUUGGAUUGUGCUUUCUAGCAUAUCACAUUAAUAACCUCAAUGCUUUUUUUUACAUGCAACCACCCCCAAGUAUAAUAGUUUACUUAUUUUUAACCAAAAUACCCUCUUUUUGUUUUUUUUUUCGAGUUUUCCACUCUCUCUCUUUAAGCAAGUGGGAGCCCAAUAUGUGCCGAACCGGCACAACUUUAAUAUAGAACUGGUCCGGCAUUUCGUUUGUGCUAAAAGCCGGUUCGGCAUAGAUUGGGUUAAAGAACUCGUAUGUGUGACAGCGGGCGAUGGAAAGGUGACAAAAAUGUACCUUCAAAUAUUAUUCAGAAAUGUGGUUUGAAUAUUAGAAAUGUGGUUUGAAUAUUGAAAAUCUUUGUGAUAGCUUUAAAAUUAGUAUAGAUCGAGCUGAUCUAUGAAAAUCUUGAAAAUUGACGGUCUAAAAAUACGUUACAAGAUGUACAAUUUCCAUGUAUCUUGAUGUCAAGAUGAUAUAUUUGAUGAUAUUUGUGCAUCAAAAUAACCUCUUCUAGUGAAAUUUUUGAAGUGGGUUCUAAUUUGAUUGUUUAGAACCGUGACUCUAUAUGAACAUUAUUUUUUGACUUUGUCGGUUUGGAAGAAAAUAUAUAUAUAUUUUUG